AAACGACUCUCGACAACGGAUAUCUCGGCUCUCGCAUCGAUGAAGAACGUAGCGAAAUGCGAUACUUGGUGUGAAUUGCAGAAUCCCGUGAAUCAUCGAGUCUUUGAACGCAAGUUGCGCCCGAAGCCUUUUGGUUGAGGGCACGUCUGCCUGGGCGUCACG
rnacentral:rRNA from 5 species